CAGUCGCCGCGGGAAUACGGAGGGUGCAAGCGUUAAUCGGAAUUACUGGGCGUAAAGCGCACGCAGGCGGUCUGUCAAGUCAGAUGUGAAAUCCCCGGGCUUAACCUGGGAACUGCAUUUGAAACUGGCAGGCUAGAGUCUUGUAGAGGGGGGUAGAAUUCCAGGUGUAGCGGUGAAAUGCGUAGAGAUCUGGAGGAAUACCGGUGGCGAAGGCGGCCCCCUGGACAAAGACUGACGCUCAGGUGCGAAAGCGUGGGGAGCAAACAGGAUUAGAUACCCCCGUAGUCCCGUCUCUUAUACC
rnacentral:rRNA from 1 species